GAUGAACGCUGGCGGCGUGCUUGAUACAUGCAAGUCGAACGGAGAGUGUAGCAAUAUACUCUUAGUGGCGAACGGGUGAGUAACGCGUUGGUGACCUGCCCCGAAGCGAGGGAUAACAGUUCGAAAGAACUGCUAAUACCUCAUGUGAUCACCGGUUUUAGAAUCUGGUGAUUAAAGGUGAAAAUCACUUCGGGAGGGCCUGCGUCCCAUCAGCUAGUUGGUAGGGUAAUGGCUUACCAAGGCGAUGACGGGUAGGGGACCUGAGAGGGUGGCCCCCCACAAUGGAACUGAAACACGGUCCAUACACCUACGGGUGGCAGCAGUAGGGAAUAUUGCAAAUGGGCGAAAGCCUGAUGUAGCAACGCCGCGUGUGCGAUGAAGGUCUUCGGAUUGUAAAGCACUUUUUGGAGGGAUGAGGAAGGACAGUACCUCCAGAAUAAGCCUCGGCUAACUACGUGCCAGCAGCCGCGGUAAACUGUAGUCGGU
rnacentral:rRNA from 1 species